AAGCUUUUUAUCUUGAUGAGGUCCCAAAAGUUCAGGUUUGCUUUUAUUUCCCUUGCCUCUGAAGACGUGUCUAGGAAGAAGUUGCUGUGGCCAAGGUCAAAGAAGUUGCUGCCUGUUUUCUCCUGUAAGGUUUUGAUGGUUUCCUGUCUCAUAUUUAGGUCUUUCAUCCAUUUUGAUUUUAUUUUUGUGGAUGGUGUUAAGUAAGUGGUCCAGUUUCUUUCUUCUGCAUGUAAAACAACUGACUUUGGGCCAGGGGACAAUGGGGCCAGGACUUCAGGGGGGGAGGGAUAAUUCGUGAAGGACAGUGGUUGUGCCCUUUGAGACAGGAGUGCAGAUGAGACCCAAGCUACAGCUCAGUCAGGAGGCUUUUAUGACAGAGGGCUGUCCCGCCUGUGUCCUGCCCUAGCCCCAUACUUCCGCCUGUGACUCGAUCAUUUCAGACUAAGACAAUUACUUCUAAUUCCCAAGCCUCCUAACCCUACGUUUCCACUUAUACAGUGUAUGAUUCGAAUGUAAACUGUUGGUGGGGCGGGGGGGGGGGGGGGCUGGGUGGCUCAGUCACUUAAGUGUCUGACUCUUGAUUUGGGUUCAGGUCAUGAUCUCACUGGUACAUGAGAUAGAGACCUGUGUCAGACUCUGCUCUGACAGCUCUGAGCCUGCUUGGGAUUCUCUCUCUCCCUCUCUCUCUCUGCCCCUCCUGCAUGUGCCCUCUCUCUCUCUCUAUCUCUCUUUCAAAAGUAACCAAACAUUUAUAAAUAAAUACAUAAAUAAAUAAAACUAAAAUUUAACAUGACCACAAGCAAACACCUAAAGCUGAACCUACUAUUAUGCCUUUUGAUGUCUACCUGGUCUGCUCCAGGAUUUCAUGUUUGUUCUUCUGCCCCCACCACGAUUCUCCAGACAGACACCCACAGCACCCACAGGAGACCCUCUGGUCAGCGAGGCUGUCCCAGCAGUAAAGCACUUUUACCAAGACUGUCUUAGAAGACAUGUGCUUGGCCUGAUGGCCCGAGGCUCUCAGAACCCAUCUUCGGAGUUGUGAGCAUACCCCCCAAUUCUUUAAAGUGUGGGUCCAGUGAGUGGAGUUGUAGGACAUCAGACACAAGGCAAAUAAAGAUCCAGCCCCUUUCACUUUCAUGCUUCUGCGAAGAAAAGAAGAAAACAAAACCAAUACCGUAUCAGGAGGAGGGCGUGGAAACUUAUGCAGGUGUGUGCAAGUUUCCCGCAGAGAAACUUCUGGGAGAUACUGGAUCUCCUGAACCUGUGAGUUCAGCAUGGGGAGAUUCUGUUCAGGUAACUUCUAGUUACCCUAACCAGCGCGCCUCCCUCCUACUCCCUUCUCCUGUUUGUAGUUUUCAGAGCUGUUUACACAAUCUCUUGAUAUCUCUCCUGUCUAUAAGCCCAAGUUACUAAGCCUGAUCCAUGCUGCUGCUUUGAUAUUGGCGACUGUGUUCCCCAGCCCUCUGUAUACCUUGAUCCAACCCAGAGCAGAUCUAAGGGAGGAUGGGAGACAUCAGUGAGGACUGACCCUUGUGACUGUCCCGUUGGAUGCACAGACCAAAAGCCAAGUGAUGACGAAACAGGUGACUGAAGCCACAUUACCCAACUAAGCUCCAAGCUAUUUUACACCCACUCUCCUCUGAGAUCUCUGGCACUCUCUCCCUCCUUCCUCAGCUCUGAUGUUGGUUGACUGUUUGUUUGUUUGUUUGUUUGUUUGUUUGUUUUAAAUCAUGCUGCAAAGCCUACUCAGAAAGAAUGGCAAGGGAAGGUUUUAUUUAACACUCUCACUUCUUCUCCCAGAAGUCUUCCUUUGCCCUUUUCCAUGGACCCCUUUUAUGGAAGAAGAGACUCAGGUUAUUACAACAAGGAUGAUGACAGAGCCUGGACCUCGGGCAGCAAAAGGGGAGGCAUUGAAAUGUAUCUCUUUCUGGAUGAAGACCUGGCCCAAGUUCAGAGUCACGAGUUAAAGACUGAGACAUACUGAAUAGGCGUGGAUAAUUUGAUUAAAUCCAACUGCUGUUUAUGGAGGACCUACUGUGUGUGCCGGACUCCGUGUGAUGGGGAGUUUUGAGCAGCGGGGCUCCAAGGAGCCAAGUCAUGAAGGACAGCAUAGGCCAUGCUGAGGAUUCGUUUUACUGUAUCCUCAGGGCACAGGUUCUGGGAGCUGAAAAACCCAAGAUCAAGGCACUGGCAGAUUCAGUGUCUGGUGAGAGUCGACUUCCUGGUUUGUAGACGGCCAUCUUCUCUCUGUGUCCUCACAUGGCUGAAGGGUCAAGAGCGAUUCCUGCGGUUUUAUAAGGGCACCAUGUAUAAGGACUCUGCGCUUAGGGCCUAAUCACCUCCCAAAGUCCCCUUCUCCAAAUACCAUGCCAUCGGGCAUUAGGAUUUAACAUGAAUUUGGGGGAGACCAGUCUAUAGCACAGAUCUUAGAAGUCUGGUCCUGGGCUCCCACAGCUCCCAGCUGCAACUGGUUCAUGAAGAGGACCUGGUGCUCACGGUAGAGUGGGGAGGACGUGCAGGAGCUGGGAGGGUUCUCAGAGCUGGGCCCACACCUGCUCCACCUCAGUGACGCCCUGGAUAGCAGAGGAGCUUCGAAGGAGCCCAGGGCCGGACGCACCUGUGUGAGUGGGAUGGUGCAGUGAUGGGCCAACCGUGGGCACCCUCCUUGAUGACUGAGCCCUGAUUUGGACAUCUAACGGAGGUGGUGUGUGGGAAGAACAGACACUGACUCUGCUUUGUCCGUGGCCCAACAACCAUAGCUGCUACCCCUGGAGACAUUUUCUGGUGAUGCAGAGGCUCAGCCCUCCUUCCUCCUUAAGAUGUUCAUAGCAAGUAUGAAUUUCCAUCCAAAAAUGCAGGUGGGCAAAAAGCAAAAAUGAUCAUUUUUAUUGCGAACCCCCAUUCCGCUGGACUGGUGGACAUUCAGCCUUCCAGUUCGGCUCUCCCCCUUUUCUGGAGUUUGUGGCUAAAUUUGGGAGUACUUGGGUGGUGCAAAGGCUUAGGGAAGGCCCCAGCUGGCCCUGAGACACCUGUGCUCCCAGGCGUCCCCUGAGGUGUCUGCUGUACAUCUAUCCCACGUUCGUCAAUUCAUGUGUGUCCCACUGAGAAGACCUUGUCUCUCGGACCCAUGGGCCGGCUUGACCACGUCCGAAUCGCUGCUUCAGUGUCCUGGUGGUGCCACCUGUGACCCUGCUACUUGGACCUGUCAGACGAAUGGUCCUUCUCUGAGGUCUCGCUGGGACACAGCCACCUCUUGAAGACAGCCCCCCCCCCCCACCAAUGCUCUUGCUUUUCCAUUUCUCCUCACCGGUGACUUCCUCAGCUACCUGCACGGUGAAAUCCCUCCCUCCGUAAAUGGUGAUUUUUAAAAAAAAAUUUUUUUUGCCAGGGAAACUUAGCACUAUUAUUAUUUCUAAAACAUUAUUCUUCCACAGUAUCUUCCUAAUAAGUUCCUGUGUCCCCACAAAGAAGGGAGACACCGGGCUCUACCCCCACCCAAACUGUGCCUAGCUCUGUGGGUGAAUCAUUCCCCGGGGUCAUCAGAGAGAGCUAGCCAAGAUUGGACAGUGGGCAAAGAUCUCUCCUCCCUCCUCCUGGUGCUGUACUCUUCCUUGAUUGGAGCACCGAGUCCUCCCCAGCUAGGAGCCCAGCAGAACUUUUCUUGAAUUUGGAUUAGCUUCUGAGUGUCUCCCUCAAAUGGGGACGCUCUCCCUGUAGACUCUGCCUUAAAAGCAGCAGUAAAUGCACACUGCCUCCUGCCCUCGACCUCCAGCCACAUCUGCUUCUUCCUCAGUUAUCGACCCAUCCCUGGGCCUCAGCUGCCUGAUGUGGCAGGGGUGUGGGGUCAGCUGGGUCUAGAAUCUUGUGGGACCCUCAUGGCUCCUGCCUCUGCUCCCCUGGUCUCCCGAGACCUUUCCAAGCACACCUCACUUUCACACUGUCAGCUGAAAGUUCUGGAUUUAUGGGUCAAGACUCCCAUGAAAUGUCAACAAAUCCUAGAAGACAGCCCAAGAGGACACUUACAGGUCCUAAACUCUAGAGAGUGGUCUUAGCACUAUGCCUUGUUCACUGUAGCUUUGCUGCGGGUUCAGAAUCUUCCCCUGAAUUCCGUUUCUGCAUUAAGCUUCCCUGACUGUGGACACUCGGGACCCUCAGUCUUACCUGCCUCAGGUAGAGAGGCUCCUGCCUGAUGUCUCGUGACAUCUGCUAAGUGCCAGCCAGGGCUGCUGGUUCUUAUAAAAACCCUUCUGCCCUAGAGGCAGACCCCUGGCAGGUGCUUUUGGAACUGCUCAUUUCCUCUCUGAGAAGAGGAUCAGUUCUUUUUUUUUUUUUUUUUUAAGUUUAUUUAUUUAUUUUG